rnacentral:siRNA from 1 species
UAACGAUCUGGGCACUGUCUCGG